GAGUUUGAUCUUGGCUCAGAUUGAACGCUGGCGGCAUGCCUUACACAUGCAAGUCGAACGGCAGCACGGGAGCUUGCUCCUGGUGGCGAGUGGCGAACGGGUGAGUAAUGCAUCGGAACGUAUCCUGGAGUGGGGGAUAACGUAGCGAAAGUUACGCUAAUACCGCAUAUUCUGUGAGCAGGAAAGCGGGGGACCUUCGGGCCUCGCGCUCUUGGAGCGGCCGAUGUCGGAUUAGCUAGUUGGUGAGGUAAAGGCUCACCAAGGCGACGAUCCGUAGCAGGUCUGAGAGGAUGAUCUGCCACACUGGGACUGAGACACGGUCCAGACUCCUACGGGAGGCAGCAGUGGGGAAUUUUGGACAAUGGGGGCGAACCCUGAUCCAGCCAUGCCGCGUGAGUGAAGAAGGCCUCGG
rnacentral:rRNA from 1 species